CGUCUUGAAACACGGACCAAGGAGUCUAACAUGUGCGCGAGUCAUUGGGUUUAAAAACCUAAAGGCGAAAUAAAAGUAAAGAAAGCUUUGCUUUUUGAGGGAAGAUAGUCAUGUGGCUUUAUUAAGCAGUGACUCGCACUCCCGGGGCGUCUCUUUCUCAUUGCGAGUGGAGGCGCACCAAGAGCGUACACGUUAGGACCCGAAAGAUGGUGAACUAUGCCUGGUCAGGACGAAGCCAGGGGAAACCCUGGUGGAGGUCCGUAGCGAUUCUGACGUGCAAAUCGAUCGUCAGAGCUGGGUAUAGGGGCGAAAGACUAAUCGAACCAUCUAGUAGCUGGUUCCUCCGA
rnacentral:rRNA from 1 species